rnacentral:lncRNA from 1 species
AUAGCUGCAUGUAGAGGUCUGCAUGUUGAUCGAGUGUGGGGGUGGGUAUCGUCCAUACAUCUAUGGAUCCACCAGAAAGUUUGGACAAUCUCAAAUAUGGAGCUAGACACCGAGAUACAUCUGAUAUGAAGAUCAUGGCGCAGAACGGUGUAGUCUACAUGGAAAAAUAUGAACUAGUCGAGGAUUAGGAAAGUACUCAUUGCAAUAAAACUAGAACUCCUCUUGUCGUAUCCGACAUGUAUUCUUGUAACCAACCGACAUGUAACCUUGCCCCCGCAAUAUAAUGCGAGGCAGGGAUCCCCUCCAAAGCAAUUUAAUCCAACCAACAUACAUGACAUAGGGUAUUAUGUAAUCUAGCGGUCCGAACCUAUCUAAAUCAUGUAUCUAUGUUUACCUUCGAGUUCCUGAUCUCGAUGAG